UACGUAGGGGGCAAGCGUUGUCCGGAAUCAUUGGGCGUAAAGCGCGUGUAGGCGGUCCGGUAAGUCCGCUGUGAAAGUCGGGGGCUCAACCCUCGAAUGCCGGUGGAUACUGUCGGGCUAGAGUGCGGAAGAGGCGAGUGGAAUUCCUGGUGUAGCGGUGAAAUGCGCAGAUAUCAGGAGGAACACCAGCGGCGAAGGCGGCGCUCUGGGCCGGUACUGACACUGAGGAGCGAAAGCGUGGGUAGCAAACAGG
rnacentral:rRNA from 1 species